rnacentral:miRNA from 1 species
ACAAGCUUUCGGGAGAACCUCCCUUUCUCAAGUCUGAAUGCUUCAGACUUGAGAAAGGGAGGUUCUCCCGAAAGCUUG